rnacentral:pre_miRNA from 1 species
UCUUAUGGAUGAGCAAAAGGUGUGGUGUCAUGAGAUGCAUUCUACUCCUGGUGAAGAUGCUGUGAA